AUUAGAAGCUUCUUGUAUAGAGAUUCGAUAAUUAUAGAGUAGGAUAUAAAAUAAAUUAUUCGCAAUUAAACACCAUCUAGCUGCAACAUCUGCUAUAAAUAUAGAUUGUUUCUCAAUACAGACGCCUGCAUACGGUAACACCAUCACCGAUAGAGACUUGUGAAAUAUCGACGCGAGGAUCACAAGCCAGAUAUUCGUUGAUUUCCAUUAUGGCCUUUCUUGUCUCCCUUAGAUGCUCCGGCACAGCUUCUUCUUUUUGAGCAACAGAGCCAUACCACAAGGUAUUAUCAUAAGCUAUUAUACCUCCAACCUUAACAAGUUUCAACAAUUGUUCAUGGAAUUGCUUGUAGCUGCAUUUGUCAGCAUCUACAAAUGCCAUGUCAAAUUCUGAUCUAUCUUUAUCAUUGUUCAACAUUUCACUCAACGCUGAGAUGGCAUUUGAUUUGAUGAAGUUGAUUUUGUGCUCCAUGCCUGCCUGUCGGAUGAAUGGUAAUCCAACUUCAUAAGCUUCUUGAUCUAGGUCUAUAGCCGUUAUCUGGCCAUCAUCAGGCAGUGCAAGUGCAGUGGAAAGUAGAGAAUAGCCUGUAAAAACACCAAUCUCCAAGGUUCUCUUGGCAUUCAUAAUCUUUACAAGCAUUGAUAGGAAUUGCCCUUCAUCAACUGGCACAGACAUCUCGCUCUUGUUGCCAUACUUGUUUACUGUAGCUUCUCGUAAAUUCUUGAGUUCUCUGUGCUCUCUAGGAUAUGAAGUAGUUUCAAAGAUGUACUUCUUUAGAGCUUCGCUCUGGAGAAUCCCUUUACGAGGAAACAGCGCCAUGCGUAACUUCUACCUUCAAAGAACUGCAGCAACAACUUGGAGUGGAAGCUGGUCUACUCCAUGAACUUUAUAACUUACACUUCAGUAAUUUUACAAAGAGAUCCAUGAACUUUAUAACUUCCACUUCAAUAAUUUUACAAAGAAACUAUGGAUUGCUUUGUUUUUUUAAAGUAAAUUACCGGUAUCUUCUGACUUAUUAGGUUAGACUUAUUUCUGUUUAUAUUGGGAGAUUCGUUAU
rnacentral:misc_RNA from 1 species